rnacentral:rRNA from 1 species
UUGGAGGGCAAGUCUGGUGCCAGCAGCCGCGGUAAUUCCAGCUCCAAUAGCGUAUAUUAAAGUUGUUGCAGUUAAAAAGCUCGUAGUUGAAUUUCGGGGUCAGUAGGCUGGUCGUGCCACAGGUAUGUACUGGUCUCACUGAUUCCUCCUUCCUGAUGAACCGUAAUGCCAUUAAUUUGGUGUUGCGGGGAAUCUGGACUGUUACUUUGAAAAAAUUAGAGUGUUUAAAGCAGGCUAACGCUUGAAUACAUUAGCAUGGAAUAAUGAAAUAGGACGAUCGAUCCUAUUUUGUUGGUUUCUAGGAUUGACGUAAUGAUUAAUAGGGAUAGUUGGGGGCAUUAGUAUUCAAUUGUCAGAGGUGAAAUUCUUGGAUUUAUUGAAGACUAACUACUGCGAGAGCAUUUGCCAAGGAUGUUUUCAUUAAUCAAGAACGAAAGUUAGGGGAUCGAAGACGAUCAGAUACCGUCGUAGUCUUAACCAUAAACUAUGCCGACUAGGGAUCGGAUGAUGUUAAUUUUUUAAUGACUCAUUCGGCGCCUUACGGGAAA